rnacentral:lncRNA from 1 species
AAUCAAGAGAUAUGAAACAAGAGAUAUCUCAUUAUGAAAGAUAGGGCGUUCUACUAUGCGAUACUAGAUACGAAAAGCUACCAAUGCAAGUGAAUUAUCGCUAAAGGGAAUAAGUAGCAUCACUUGGAUGAGAAUCUUUAUAAAGAAUUUGAUUCUAGAAAUAACUCCUAUAGUAUGUUAUGUUUUGUUGUGACGNAAAAGUGAUUGAAGUACCUGGCUAACGUUGACCUGAGAAUACAAGCGAGUAGCAUCACUUGGAUGAGAAUCUUUAUAAAGAAUUUGAUUCUAGAAAUAACUCCUAUAGUAUGUUAUGUUUUGUUGUGACGAUGACUUGUUGUAUGGAUAUUUGGUAAGUUUUAGGCCUGUUGUACACCACAGUCACUCCCAAACACAUGUUGGCCAUGUCUCGAAUGAAUAUAGUUGAUCGGGCUAUAUUGACCCUAGACAUGACUACAUAACUGUCCAGGUUUAACCUCAGUGCCCAACACCCAAUUACUUUUGUUUUGUUCUGCUCGUGGUUAUUAUUUCUGAUAUUUAGGUACUCUUGUAUACUUUUUGUAAAAUACUUGUAUUUUAAAGUAUACUUUUAGUUCAGAGCGCUUCGUCCCCUUAGUGUUUAU